GAUGAACGCUAGCGGCAGGCUUAACACAUGCAAGUCGAGGGGUAACGAUGAGUGCUUGCAUUCAGGCGACGACCGGCGAACGGGUGCGUAACGCGUAUAGAAUCUGCCUUGUACAGGAGGAUAGCCUUUAGAAAUGAAGAUUAAUACUCCAUAAUGUAAGCAAAUCGCAUGAUUUACUUAUUAAAGAUUUAUUGGUACAAGAUGACUAUGCGUCCUAUUAGUUAGUUGGUAAGGUAACGGCUUACCAAGGCGACGAUAGGUAGGGGGUCUGAGAGGAUUAUCCCCCACACUGGUACUGAGACACGGACCAGACUCCUACGGGAGGCAGCAGUGAGGAAUAUUGGACAAUGGGCGGGAGCCUGAUCCAGCCAUGCCGCGUGCAGGAAGACUGCCCUAUGGGUUGUAAACUGCUUUUAUACAGGAAGAAACCCAUCCACGUGUGGAUAGCUGACGGUACUGUAAGAAUAAGCACCGGCUAACUCCGUGCCAGCAGCCGCGGUAAUACGGAGGGUGCAAGCGUUAUCCGGAAUCAUUGGGUUUAAAGGGUCCGCAGGCGGUCGAUUAAGUCAGAGGUGAAAUCUCACAGCUUAACUGUGAAACUGCCUUUGAUACUGGUUGACUUGAGUCAUAUGGAAGUGGAUAGAAUAAGUAGUGUAGCGGUGAAAUGCAUAGAUAUUACUUAGAAUACCGAUUGCGAAGGCAGUCCACUACGUAUGUACUGACGCUCAUGGACGAAAGCGUGGGGAGCGAACAGG
rnacentral:rRNA from 1 species